AGGAACCGUCGCGAGGCGUCCCCUCGGCGGCCGCCUCAGUUUCCCUGGCCGUAAAACGCGGGCGAUGGCGCUCGAUGCCCCGGGAGACGCCGGGGUCCGCGGGCCCUUCCGGCACCGGGUCCUCCUUCAGGUUCGGGCACCCGGCUGCCUCCACGCGGGGCGAGCGCGGCGAUGGGAUCGGUCCGUGCUGCGCUCAGCCCCGCUUUCGCUAUCCCUCUGCUCCAGGGGCAGCAAAAUCAGCAGAUGAGCCCCCAGCGCGCCUGCGGCCCACACACUGCGGCCGUAACAGUUAAACAGACGGGGAACAUUCAUGUGCGUAGAGCUCUUCACGGGGCGAUACAGAAAUGUGUCGUUCUAAAGCGUUAACGACCUGCAAUUUGCAUAUCCUCCAACACAUGGAUUUUACUGAUUCAAUUAUGGAUGUGUGCAAAGAAUCUGCUGCUCGGUGAGUCAUUGUUAAUUGUCGGCUUUGGGGGGAAUACAUAAAACGUGGAAUAUUGGCAA
rnacentral:lncRNA from 1 species